UACGAAGGGGGCGAGCGUUAUUCGGAAUCACUGGGCGUAAAGCGUGCGUAGGCGGUCCUAAAAGUUAGGAGUGAAAGCCCAGGGCUUAACCCUGGAAUUGCUCUUAAAACUAUAGGACUAGAAUUUGGGAGAGGAUAGCGGAAUUGUCAGUGUAGCAGUGAAAUGCGUAGAUAUUGACAGGAACACCAGUGGCGUAAGCGGCUAUCUGGACCGACAUUGACGCUGAGGCACGAAAGCGUGGGGAUCAAACAGG
rnacentral:rRNA from 1 species